GGCCACAGCCAUAUCACCCUGCAGCCCAAGACCGGUUACUCACUGAAACUAAGCAGGGCUGAGCCUGGUCAGUACCUGGAUGGGAGACCACUAGGGAACACUAGGUUGCUGUUGGAA
rnacentral:rRNA from 1 species